UAUUAAGCGGAGGAAAAGAAACUAACUAGGAUUCCCUUAGUAGCUGCGAGCGAACAGGGAUAAGCCCAGCACUGAAUCCCGUGGCCGAUACCGGACACUGGGAAAUGUAGUGUUAGGGAGAACUCAUUUAUCCUAUGAUUGUACGGUGCGUCCAAGUCCUUCUUGAACGGGGCCACAGCCCAUAGAGGGUGCCAGGCCCGUAGUGACCACUGUCAAUUGUGGGAGAGUCUCUCCUCAGAGUCGGGUUGCUUGAGAGUGCAGCCCUAAGUGGGUGGUAAACUCCAUCUAAGGCUAAAUAUAACCACGAGACCGAUAGCGAACAAGUACCGUGAGGGAAAGUUGAAAAGCACUUUGAAGAGAGAGUUCAAGAGUACGUGAAACCGUUCAGGGGUAAACCUGAGAAACCCGAAAGAUCGAAAGGGGAAAUUCAUUCGUAUUUCAGUCACUGGCACUUGCGUGUUUUUUAGUAUAGGACUUGUUGUGCCAUUUUCGGAUGGUACGCAUGUUCAACUGAUGUGUGGUGUGAUUCCAGUAUUGAAUACGUGCACUUUUCCCCUAGUAGGUCGUCGCGAUCUGUUGGCAAUCGAUUUACGGCUUGUGGUGGCAGACUAUGCGUUUAACAUAUUUCGGUAUGUUAUUAACUGUAUAGACCCACAAUGUUUCCUAAUCGGUUUGUCGACAGUAUGAAAUGUUGAGCAUAAAGUCGCACGUUUUUUGUAAGAGAUGCGUUCAACCUAUGGCAAGCACGUUUGGUGUUUAUUGGUGUGUCAUACCUAGUAUGUCCCCAGUCCCAAAUGUCUGUUGGCUGUGGUGUUCUUGAACUGACUUUGCUAAUGCUUAUCUGCGACGCUAUAGCUUUGGGUACUUUCAGGACCCGUCUUGAAACACGGACCAAGGAGUCUAGCAUGUGUGCGAGUCAUUGGGACAUGAUUAAACCUAAAGGCGAAAUGAAAGUGAAUGGUUUACUGCUUGCAGUAAAUUGUAGGGAGGAUGAGUGGUUUGCCCAAUAAGUGGCCGCUCCGCACUCCCGGGGCGUCUCGUUCUCAUUGCGAGAAGAGGCGCACCAUGAGCAUACACGCUGGGACCCGAAAGAUGGUGAACUAUGCCUGGUCAGGACGAAGUCAGGGGAAACCCUGAUGGAGGUCCGUAGCGAUUCUGACGUGCAAAUCGAUCGUCGGAACUGGGUAUAGGGGCGAAAGACUAAUCGAACCAUCUAGUAGCUGGUUCCCUCCGAAGUUUCCCUCAGGAUAGCUGGCGCUCGUUGUAUACGAGUUUCAUCCGGUAAAGCGAAUGAUUAGAGGCAUUGGGGUCGAAACGACCUCAACCUAUUCUCAAACUUUAAAUGGGUGAGAUCUUCGGCUUGCUUAAAUAUGUAUUUUUGAAGCCGUUUAGAUUGUGAAUCAGAGUGCCAAGUGGGCCAUUUUUGGUAAGCAGAACUGGCGCUGUGGGAUGAACCAAACGUUGAGUUAAAGCGCCAAAAUCGACGCUUAUGGGAUACCAUGAAAGGCGUUGGUAACUUAAGACAGCAGGACGGUGGCCAUGGAAGUCGGAAUCCGCUAAGGAGUGUGUAACAACUCACCUGCCGAAGUUACUAGCCCUGAAAAUGGAUGGCGCUGAAGCGUCGUGCUUAUACUCAACCGUUAGUGGCAUGUGCGAUUACCUUUGUUGUAAUCAUGAAGCCCUAACGAGUAGGAGGGUCGCGGUGGUGAGCGCAGAAGGGCUGGCCGUGAGGCCGUCUGGAGCCGCCAUCGGUGCAGAUCUUGGUGGUAGUAGCAAAUACUCCAGCGAGGCCCUGGAGGACUGACGUGGAGAAGGGUUUCGUGUGAACAGCCGUUGCACACGAGUCAGUCGAUCCUAAGCCCUAGGCGAAAGCCGAUGUUGAUGUAGUGUAUUGUUUUUAUAAUGAUGUGUUGUGAAUGGCUUGUUAUUUUGUUUGUGCACACACUCAUUGGGCGAAAGGGAAUCCGGUUCCUAUUCCGGAACCUGGCAGCGGAACCGUAUAUAAGUCGGGCCCUCAUUGAGAGCUUGUCGGGGUAACCCAAAAGGACCCGGAGACGCCGUCGGGAGAUCUGGGAAGAGUUUUCUUUUCUGUAUGAGCGUUCGAGUUCCAUGGAAUCCUCUAGCAGGGAGAUAUGGUUUGGAACGCGAAGAGCACCGCAGUUGCAGCGGUGUCCAGAUCUUCCCCUCGGACCUUGAAAAUCCGGGAGAGGGCCACGUGGAGGUGUCGCGCCAGAUCGUACCCAUAUCC
rnacentral:rRNA from 1 species